UCCUCCAUGGCGCAAUUGGCUAGCGCGUCUGACUGUUAAUCAGGAGGUUGACAGUUCGAGCCUGUCUGGAGGAG
rnacentral:tRNA from 1 species